rnacentral:rRNA from 1 species
UCAGAGAUGAGCUUGUGCCUUCGGGAACUUAGAGACAGGUGCUGCAUGGCUGUCGUCAGCUCGUGUUGUGAAAUGUUGGGUUAAGUCCCGCAACGAGCGCAACCCUUAUCCUUUGUUGCCAGCGACUUGGUCGGGAACUCAAAGGAGACUGCCAGUGAUAAACUGGAGGAAGGUGGGGAUGACGUCAAGUCAUCAUGGCCCUUACGAGUAGGGCUACACACGUGCUACAAUGGCGUAUACAGAGGGAAGCGAA